rnacentral:rRNA from 1 species
UACACACCGCCCGUCACACCAUGGAAGUUGGCUGCACCAGAAGUAGGUAGUCUAACCGCAAGGGGGGCGCUUACCACGGUGUGGUCAAUGACUGGGGUG